GACCUCAGGUCAGGCGUGGUCACCCGUUGAAUUUACGCAUAUCAAUAACCGGAGGAGAAGAAACUUACGAGGAUUCCCCUAGU
rnacentral:rRNA from 1 species